CGGCGGAGGGGUGAGUAACGCGUGGCAACCUGCCUCAAGGUUUGGGAUAACAGCUCGAAAGGGCUGCUAAUACCGGAUAUGCCUGUGGCCUCGCAGGGGGCUAUGAGCAAAGGGGAAACCCGCCUUGAGAUGGGCCCGCGUCCCAUCAGCUAGUUGGUGAGGUAACGGCUCACCAAGGCGACGACGGGUAGCCGGCCUGAGAGGGUGACCGGCCACGCUGGGACUGAGACACGGACCAGACUCCUACGGGGGGCAGCGGUGGGGGAUCUUGCACAAUGGGCAAAAGCCUGAUGCAGCGACGCCGCGUGAGCGAAGAAGGCCUUCGGGUUGUAAAGCUCUGUCUGGAGGGACAAAGAAAAUGACGGUACCUCCGGAGGAAGCCACGGCUAACUACGUGCCAGCAGCCGC
rnacentral:rRNA from 1 species